UCGCCUGAAUGUGAACUAAAUCACUUCAAACCUGGGGUAAGUCUCAGUAUCAUCGUAAAAGCUAAACCCUUGCCGCCUGACGGUGAGGGUUUUCUUUUGGG
rnacentral:sRNA from 1 species